rnacentral:rRNA from 1 species
AGAGUUUGAUCCUGGCUCAGAGCGAACGCUGGCGGCAGGCCUAACACAUGCAAGUCGAACGAACUCUUCGGAGUUAGUGGCAGACGGGUGAGUAACACGUGGGAACGUGCCUUUAGGUUCGGAAUAGCUCCUGGAAACGGGUGGUAAUGCCGAAUGUGCCCUUCGGGGGAAAGAUUUAUCGCCUUUAGAGCGGCCCGCGUCUGAUUAGCUAGUUGGUGGGGUAAUGGCCCACCAAGGCUACGAUCAGUAGCUGGUCUGAGAGGAUGACCAGCCACAUUGGGACUGAGACACGGCCCAAACUCCUACGGGAGGCAGCAGUGGGGAAUCUUGCGCAAUGGGCGAAAGCCUGACGCAGCCAUGCCGCGUGUAUGAUGAAGGUCUUAGGAUUGUAAAAUACUUUCACCGGUGAAGAUAAUGACUGUAGCCGGAGAAGAAGCCCCGGCUAACUUCGUGCCAGCAGCCGCGGUAAUACGAAGGGGGCUAGCGUUGCUCGGAAUUACUGGGCGUAAAGGGAGCGUAGGCGGACAUUUAAGUCAGGGGUGAAAUCCCGGAGCUUAACUUCGGAACUGCCUUUGGUACUGGGUGUCUUGAGUGUGAGAGAGGUAUGUGGAACUCCGAGUGUAGAGGUGAAAUUCGUAGAUAUUCGGAAGAACACCAGUGGCGAAGGCGACAUACUGGCUCAUUACUGACGCUGAGGCUCGAAAGCGUGGGGAGCAAACAGGAUUAGAUACCCUGGUAGUCCAA